UCAAGCGGCUGGUCCUCCAGAGGACCUCGAGAGGAGCAUGUUGGCAGAAAAACACACCGACAGACAUCUGCACGCCUGCAGGCCAUUGAUUGAGGGGACUAGGCGGAGUUUGGCCGGGGCUGUUGGAGGAGAGCCGGGGCCACCUAGCGGCCCAAUUCCAGGGGAAAAUCGUCUGCCUCUGGCUCCUCCAUCAGCUGAGAGCUACUUCCACUCAAUAAAACUUUGUACUCUUUCUCCAGUCCCGCAUGUGAUCCGAUUCUUCCGGUACACCAAGGCAAGAACCCGGGAUACAGAAAGCCCUCUGUCCUUGCGACAAGGUAGAGGUUCUAAUUGAGCGGACUUACACAAGACACCUAUAGACGGCAAAUUAAAAGAGCACCCUGUAACACACGCCCACUGGGGCUUCAGGAGCUGUAAACGUUCACCCCUAGACACUGCCGUGGAGUCAAGAGCCCCACAGCCUGCCCAUCUGUAUGCUCCCCUAGAAGUUUGAGCAGCGGGGCACUGAAGAAGCAAGCCACACCCACAUCGCACGCCCUGCGAGGGGGAUGACGGAACCUUUCCCGUUUCAAUAUGACCAUAGGCUCAAUUUUCCUACAUAAUUAAGAGUUUGGAAUUCGGGCAAUAUCAAGAACCACAUCUGUCCUGAAAUCAAUUAUCUCUGUUUGAAACACAAGAAAUAAGAAGACCAUUUUGAGAAGAACAGAGAGUAGCCUUAAGAAAAUCCCUGUCGCAAGCACUCUGGGAUUUGGACUCAAAUGCUAAUUAUACAACGUUGGUGGACCAGCCUUAAAACCAACAAUGAUUUGUAACAUUGAUUCUUUGGGAAAGGGCAUUCGGGAUCCCACAUCACCAUCUAACAAAUGAAUUUUUGUAAGAAAACCCAUUG
rnacentral:lncRNA from 10 species